GAGGAAUAUUGGUCAAUGGGCGAGAGCCUGAACCAGCCAAGUAGCGUGAAGGAUGACUGCCCUAUGGGUUGUAAACUUCUUUUAUACGGGAAUAACAAGCGGCACGUGUGCCGCUCUGCAUGUACCGUAUGAAUAAGCAUCGGCUAACUCCGUGCCAGCAGCCGCGGUAAUACGGAGGAUGCGAGCGUUAUCCGGAUUUAUUGGGUUUAAAGGGAGCGCAGACGGGUCUUUAAGUCAGUUGUGAAAGUUUGCGGCUCAACCGUAAAAUUGCAGUUGAUACUGGAGACCUUGAGUGCGGUAUAGGCAGGCGGAAUUCGUGGUGUAGCGGUGAAAUGCUUAGAUAUCACGAAGAACUCCGAUUGCGAAGGCAGCUUGCUGGACCGUAACUGACGUUGAGGCUCGAAAGUGCGGGUAUCAAACAGGAUUAGAUACCCUGGUAGUCCGCACAGUAAACGAUGGACACUCGCUGUUGGCGAUAUACUGUCAAGCGGCCGAGCGAAAGCGUUAAGCAUCCCACCUGGGGAGUACGCCGGCAACGGUGAAACUCAAA
rnacentral:rRNA from 1 species